ACAAAACCUAUACAUAGUCGAGGACAUUCAUUAGUCUUGUACCCAAACCCUCACUGUCCUGUCAUUAUCUAAUCCAGCUGAGACAAUCAUGUUUUCUGUGGGAUGGCAAGUUACCGAAAUGACGGUAUCAGUAUGUCCUUCAAGUUUCUGCAGCAAAUUUUUCCCUUGCAAAUCCCAUAUAUAGACACAUCGGUCCUCUGAGCCGCUUACAAUAUACUUCCCAUUCGUGACGGAACAUCAUGUUUUCUGUGAGAUGGCAAGUUACCGAAAUGACGGUAUCAGUAUGUCCUUCAAGUUUCUGCAGCAAAUUUUUUCCUUGUAAAUCCCAUAUAUAGACACAUCGGUCCUCUGAGCCGCUUACAAUAUACUUCCCAUUCGUGACGGAAAAUGUUGAAGUUAU
rnacentral:lncRNA from 1 species